UAAAGGCUCACCAAGGCUACGAUCAGUAGCUGGUCUGAGAGGAUGAUCAGCCACAUUGGGACUGAGACACGGCCCAGACUCCUACGGGAGGCAGCAGUGAGGAAUAUUGCUCAAUGGACGAAAGUCUGAAGCAGCAACGCCGCGUGAGGGAUGAAGGUGCUCUGCAUCGUAAACCUCUGUAGUCGGGGACAAAUGUGGGGUUACUACCCCAUUGAUGGUACCCGAAAAGUAAGGAUCGGCUAACUACGUGCCAGCAGCCGCGGUAAUACGUAGGAUCCAAGCGUUGUCCGGAUUUACUGGGUGUAAAGGGUGCGCAGGCGGACUGGUUAGUCAGGAGUGAAAUCUCGGCGCUCAACGCCGAAACGUCUUUUGAUACUGCCAGUCUUGAAUAAGCGAGAGAUUCGUGGAAUUCCGAGUGUAGCAGUGAAAUGUGUAGAUAUUCGGAAGAACACCAGAGGCGAAGGCAGCGAAUUGGCGCUUUAUUGACGCUCAGGCACGAAAGCAUGGGGAUCAAACAGGAUUAGAUACCCUGGUAGUCCAUGCCCUAAACGAUGAUCACUUGGUGUCGGCCGCAAGGUCGGUGCCGGAGCUAACGCGUUAAGUGAUCCACCUGGGGAGUACGCUCGCAAGGGUGAAACUCAAAGGAAUUGACGGGGGCCCGCACAAGCAGUGGAGCAUGUGGUUCAAUUCGAUGCAACGCGAAGAACCUUACCUGGGCUUGAAAGGUCGUCUAAACAGGUGAAAGCCUGCUACCCGCAAGGGGGGCGAUACAGGUGCUGCAUGGCUGUCGUCAGCUCGUGCCGUGAGGUGUUUGGUUAAGUCCAGCAACGAGCGCAACCCCUGAGUUUAGUUGCCAGCACAUAAUGGUGGGAACUCUAAACUAACUGCCUACGCAAGUAGUGAGGAAGGUGGGGACGACGUCAAGUCAUCAUGGCCCUUACGUCCAGGGCAACACACGUGCUACAAUGGCGGCUACAACGCGCAGCAAUACCGCGAGGUGGAGCGAAUCGCUAAAAAGCCGUCUCAGUUCGAAUCGGAGUCUGCAACUCGACUCCGUGAAGUUGGAAUUGCUAGUAAUCGGGGGUCAGCACACCCCGGUGAAUAC
rnacentral:rRNA from 1 species